UAAUAAUAAGUGGUAGUGGUUGUAGUGAUUGGUAGUCGAUUGGUGAUGUUAGUUAAGUGGUGGGGAUGGCGGCGAUAGCGAUAGUGGUGGUGAUUAGGUGAUGGUGGUGGCAAGAUGAGGUAGUAGUUGUGGUAGAGGUGGCAAGAUAAGGUAUUAGUUAUUAUAGAGGUGGCAAUAAAUAAGUGAUGAUUGCGGUGAUCAAGUGAUAAUAGUGGUGAUAGUGACAGUGGUAAAAUGGUGGUGGUGGUAGUAGUAAUAGUGGUGGUGGUAGUGGUGAUAAAGUGGGGUAGUGGUGGUAAUAGUAGUAGUGGUCAGGUAGUAUAAUGAUUGAAUUGACAAUAAAUAAAAAAAAUAUCAAAACAAGUAAUCAUGAUUAUAUCUAUUUUUAUAUGUAAUAAACAUUACAUUAAUUGAUUACAUUAUAUAAUUGGUAUUCACUACAUAAAUUUUUUUUUGUUUUAUCAAAUAACGUAAUCAAAUAUACAAUGUAAUUGCGAUUAUAUUACAACUUUGAUUACCGUCUACUAAACAUGGCCUUAUAGUUUUAGGGGUUGGCAUUUUUCUGUUGAAUAUUUAAAGACAGUUGACAUUUUCAAUUCAUUGACCAUUUGCAGACAAUGAUGGAAAGCAGUUCUGAGACUACAACAACUCCUCCAAAAGUACAGAAACUGGAUAGGUUACAGACACUUGAAAAAGAACACCAAGAUGCAAUAGAAAGAGCUGUCAGUUUGAAUAUACCACAUAAUGAGAGCAUCACAGAGGCAGAACCUCAAGAGGGCAAAGAGGCAGAGUCUUCCCAUGGUGAGCACGAAGGUGAACAUGCUUCAGAAACUAAAUCACAGUCCAGCUUCUCAAGGACAAAAUGGGAUGAACUGCUUAAUAAAGUGUUAGAGAAGGAUGAGUUGGAUGAGCUGGCUGCAAAGAAAGAUGCAAAUGCCCCCAAAUAACUAUUGCUUAUUGUCAGGGUGUAUACAUUGAAAGAUAGGUGUUUUGUUCCUUUAUUCAUUUUUGUACCCACCUUUCUGAAUGUCCAAGUUUGUAUAUCUUCUUGUAUAAAAGAAAUUGCAAAAAUUCUAGUAAAUGAUACAGAUACAAAAAGUGCAACAUCACUAAUUUUUAAAGCCUUUGAACAGUUGCUUCGUCACGUGCCCUUAUGUCUUCCCUGUGGAGGUUAAGGAUCCACUCUCCAUCGUCUCUCUGGUGUGUUUAGGAUUGUUAAAAACUCUGUAUAUUGUGGCUAGGAUUAUUGAAACUAUAGUGCUUUCAGC
rnacentral:misc_RNA from 1 species